UACGUAGGGGGCUAGCGUUGUCCGGAAUCAUUGGGCGUAAAGCGCGUGUAGGCGGUCCGGUAAGUCCGCUGUGAAAGUCGAGGGCUCAACCCUCGAAUGCCGGUGGAUACUGUCGGGCUUGAGUACGGGAGAGGCGAGUGGAAUUCCUGGUGUAGCGGUGAAAUGCGCAGAUAUCAGGAGGAACACCCGUGGCGAAAGCGGCUCUCUGGGACGGUACUGACGCUGAGACGCGAAAGCGUGGGGAGCAAACAGG
rnacentral:rRNA from 1 species